rnacentral:rRNA from 1 species
GACGAACGCUGGCGGCGUGCUUAACGCAUGCAAGUCGAACGGAAAGGCCCUGCUUGCAGGGUGCUCGAGUGGCGAACGGGUGAGUAACACGUGGGUGAUCUGCCCCUUAUUUUGGGAUAAGCCUGGGAAACUGGGUCUAAUACUGGAUAGGACCAUGCUGUAGGUGGUGUGGUGGAAAGAUUAGUUUCGGUAAGGGAUGAGCUCGCGGCCUAUCAGCUUGUUGGUGGGGUAAUGGCCUACCAAGGCGUCGACGGGUAGCCGGCCUGAGAGGGUGGACGGCCACAUUGGGACUGAGAUACGGCCCAGACUCCUACGGGAGGCAGCAGUGGGGAAUAUUGAACAAUGGGCGCAAGCCUGAUGCAGCGACGCCGCGUGGGGGAUGACGGCCUUCGGGUUGUAAACUCCUUUCAGCCAUGACGAAGCCCUUGUGGUGACGGUAGUGGUAGAAGAAGCACCGGCUAACUACGUG